rnacentral:rRNA from 1 species
UACAGAGGUCUCAAGCGUUGUUCGGAUUCAUUGGGCGUAAAGGGUGCGUAGGCGGCGCGGUAAGUCGGGUGUGAAAUCUCGGAGCUUAACUCCGAAACUGCAUUCGAUACUGCCGUGCUUGAGGACUGGAGAGGAGAUUGGAAUUUACGGUGUAGCAGUGAAAUGCGUAGAUAUCGUAAGGAAGACCAGUGGCGAAGGCGAAUCUCUGGACAGUUACUGACACUGAGGCACGAAGGCCAGGGGAGCAAAGCGGG